UACGGGGGAGCAAGCGUUGUUCGGAUUUACUGGCGUAAAGGGCGCGUAGGCGGCCUCUGCAAGUCGACUGUGAAAUCUCCGGCUUAACCCGGAAAGGUCAGCCGAUACUGCAGGGCUAGAGUGCAGAAGGGGCAACUGGGAAUUCUCGGUGUAGCGGUGAAAUGCGUAGAUAUCGAGAGGAACACCUGCGGCGAAGGCGGGUUGCUGGGCUGACACUGACGCUGACAGCGCGAAAGCUAGGGGAGCGAACGGG
rnacentral:rRNA from 1 species